rnacentral:lncRNA from 1 species
GCAUUUGAAAUAAACUUUAUUAAACAGAGUGAUUAAAUUGCUCAAGACAGUUGACUGUUGGGUCAACCCUACCUGUAAUGAUUAAAAGGAUGUGGGACUCAAUUUGCUCCUUCUACCUCAAACUAUGUCACACAUGCUACAAACUCUUCUUUGGGGACUUUUUAAAAGUACAAGCUAUUUGGUUCAAUUAGUUAAUGUGCAAUUAUAGUAGUAACAUCUGUACGACCUCUGUCUUUGCCUUUUGUUGAGCUAAAAAGACAACCAUGUAUGGCUCAGUCACUUCUGCUAAACAGACUAAC